rnacentral:rRNA from 1 species
AUUGAACGCUGGCGGCAGGCUUAACACAUGCAAGUCGAGCGGAGCGAGGGUGCUUGCACCUUAGCUUAGCGGCGGACGGGUGAGUAAUGCUUAGGAAUCUGCCUAUUAGUGGGGGACAACAUUCCGAAAGGAAUGCUAAUACCGCAUACGCCCUACGGGGGAAAGCAGGGGAUCUUCGGACCUCGCGCUAAUAGAUGAGCCUAAGUCGGAUUAGCUAGUUGGUGGGGUAAAGGCCUACCAAGGCGACGAUCGGUAGCGGGUCUGGAGAGGAUGAUCCGCCACACUGGGACUGAGACACGGCCCAGACUCCUACGGGAGGCAGCAGUGGGGAAUAUUGGACAAUGGGCGGAAGCCUGAUCCAGCCAUGCCGCGUGUGUGAAGAAGGCCUUUUGGUUGUAAAGCACUUUAAGCGAGGAGGAGGCUCUUAAGGUUAAUACCCUUGAUGAGUGGACGUUACUCGCAGAAUAAGCACCGGCUAACUCUGUGCCAGCCGCCGCAGUAACAC